rnacentral:rRNA from 1 species
GCAAGUCGAGGGGUAACAUAGAGAAGCUUGCUUUUCUGAUGACGACCGGCGCACGGGUGCGUAACGCGUAUGCAACCUACCUCUUACUGGGGGAUAGCCCGAAGAAAUUCGGAUUAAGACCCCAUAGUAUUGUUCUUUCGCAUGUUAGAACAAUUAAAGGUUACGGUAAGAGAUGGGCAUGCGUCCCAUUAGCUAGAUGGUAAGGUAACGGCUUACCAUGGCAACGAUGGGUAGGGGGCCUGAGAGGGUGAUC